rnacentral:rRNA from 1 species
UACGUAGGGUGCGAGCGUUGUCCGGAAUUAUUGGGCGUAAAGAGCUUGUAGGCGGUCUGUCGCGUCUGCUGUGAAAAUCCGGGGCUCAACCCCGGACUUGCAGUGGGUACGGGCAGACUAGAGUGUGGUAGGGGAGACUGGAAUUCCUGGUGUAGCGGUGAAAUGCGUAGAUAUCUGGAGGAACACCGGUGGCGAAGGCGGCAUCCUGGACCGGCAUUGACGCUGAGGCGCGAAAGCUAGGGGAGCAAACGGGG